UACGAAGGGGGCUAGCGUUGCUCGGAAUCACUGGGCGUAAAGCGCACGUAGGCGGCUUUCUAAGUCAGGGGUGAAAUCCUGGAGCUCAACUCCAGAACUGCCUUUGAUACUGGAGAGCUUGAGUCCGGAAGAGGUGAGUGGAACUCCGAGUGUAGAGGUGAAAUUCGUAGAUAUUGGGAAGAACACCAGUGGCGAAGGCGGCUCACUGGCCCGUAACUGACGCUGAGGUGCGAAAGCGUGGGGAGCAAACAGG
rnacentral:rRNA from 1 species